AAUAUUCAUUACCUUUCAAUAAAAAUUACAAAGCAUAAAACAAAUUGGAACUAGACAAUGAACGAUUGCGUUAACACAAGACACCGUAAUUCAGCGAGAAAAUAAAUGGCCACCGUAUCCAGCGCCAAGCGUUCACUGCAUACUAAAGGUGACUGCAGUCACCUGUCAAAAUCUGACAUUAGUUAACAACAAGUGUGGUUGCCUCACCUCAAAGAGCAGCAACCAUAUGGUGAAGUGUAAAGCAACGCUCCUAUGAGAAACCAGUGACCACGUGUCGCUUUUAGCAGACUACACAAUGUUACAAAUGUCAAGUGUCUUGAGCGAGAAAGAAAUCGAACGCUGGAAGAGUAGGAAAGAAAGUAAGCAGCCUACCACUCCUUUUAACGGCUUCUGACAUCAUGGCUGACGAUCGUUGCCCGUGGGCAGAACCUCGGGCAACGCUGACUACCCACUAGUCGAAUCGUGUGCACACGCUUUUUGUAAAAAAUCUAAAUAAUUGCUGACAUUAUUCUUUGUCACGAACUGUCGGUACUAAAUCUGGGAAUCAAAUAUAUGAAAAAUUCUGAAUUUAAAACUGACAGUUUGAAUGGUAUAUUUGUAAAGUUAUAAAUAUGAAGUUAUGAAAUUCAUAGACUUCUAUAUUUAACAGUUUGAGUUUAUAAGUUGAACAUUUUUUAAUUUCCCAUUUUGAAAAAUAUACAGUCUGAAUUUAUAGACUUGAAAAUCUGUGAAUUUAUAGACCUGAAAAUCUGUAAAUUUGAAAGGAUUAUCCUAUUGUCCUGAUAAAGCGUCGAAGUCGAUCUCGAAACAAACGAUAUAUCGAUACGCCACGUGUUCCUCUUUGUGACGCUAAAUCCGAAGUAUUUUUAUGUAUAUAGAGUGGCAUACGGUGACGCUCAGCAGUGACCCGGCAGUCAAUACGUUAAUAGGUUAACGCCGAAAGAAACGGAGGAAUUUCUUGUGGCUAGAAAUACGAAGACGAGAAUUCUUGGAAUUCCAGUUUGAUUCGUAUGAUUUUAUAGCAUGGCCGGAGAUCAAGCCGUUCAUGUCACCUACAAGAAUGGCGCGUAGCUUAGGUAUCUUUCUGGUGUAGCAUGAAAAUAGCCAAGUGUACUUGGAAUAUCGCGCGGCCUACGCAUUAGGCAUGCUACAACGGCGUUCACCAGGCGUUCGCACUCGCACACGCUCGUGCAAGCGAGACCGAGAGAGGUUGGCCGACUCCUUCGGGAAGUGGGGGAAUACGUACGAGGGAAGACCGUUGAGGAAAAAGAAAGAAACAGAGUGCGAACAAAGAAAAGGAUAAAAUAUCCGGGAGAGGGAGAAAGGCCGCGAACCAGAGACAGGUAGAUAAAUGUGGUUUACGGCAGGAAGGUAAAGGACAGACAACGUUGCUGUCGCGUCGUGUCUGUCGAGUGUACCGGGUCAGAAACGAAAGGAGGAACAAUUGCGAGAAUCAGCUGCAGAAGGGUAGAGAGAAAAACAGGAAGAGAGGAAAACUGGAAAAAGAAAGGUAGAUUUCAAGAGAGCAGGUAAAACGGGGAUUAAUAAGGAUAAAGAACACAAAGAGACAGAAGGGUAGCUGGAAUACGGAGGAGCUUGAACCGGAGAGCCAAGAGAGGUUAGGAUUUAAGAGUCGACGAUUAUAAACAGCGAGGUCGAGAAGAGGAUUCACCAGAACGAUGACGAGCAUUUGUCACGCAGAUGCGUUAUCGCGUUGCGAAACUUCAGAAACGAUGACAGAAAUAUACUUUCGAACAGACGCUGAAGAUACGUGGCAAACUGAUCGAAGAAUUUAUGAAGUAGAAGUAACGGAAGUCGAUGCGUUUUUAAAGUGAUAAAAAUAUCCUUGCAUUCUGCGGUAAUCAUGCAGAAAAGGUAUGUACAAACUUUUCAAUAAAAUUUUCAAAGAUAAUGAA